AGAGAGAGAGAGAGAGAGGAAGAAUGAGCCUGCAGUUAGCUGGAUAACCCUAACACACAGACAGAGAAAGAGUCCUAGUUUAGAACCUCAUUUAUUAAAAUGAGGAGAAAAGAAUUGUCACAAGUCACAAAGUCACAACCCAGAACCAAGCGCAGGGAUGAAAAGCUGGUAGUGGAGAAAAGCACGCUCCAACUAACCCACUUACGUAGAGUGCUUAAAGGGGCGGGACCUGUACAAUUACGGGUUUAAUACACAGUUGAAAUGAGUUGGUUUAUUUGCAGGAGCGAUGCACAUUAGAUUAAAGGCGUGUGCCUGCCAUUUCCUGAGCAGACAACCUCUCCUAGUUGUAAAUAGAACCUUCUCUUUUGUUUUUUGCCCCACUGAACAUCCUCUCUACUUGUACCUAAACUUGCUUAAGAAUGGGAAUUGGAUAAAGCAAAUAAGAUAUUAAAU
rnacentral:misc_RNA from 1 species